GAUGAACGCUAGCGGGAGGCUUAACACAUGCAAGUCGUGGGGCAGCACAGGUAGCAAUACUGGGUGGCGACCGGCGCACGGGUGAGUAACGCGUAUGUAACCUACCCUGUACAGGGGGAUAGCCCGGAGAAAUUCGGAUUAAUACCCCAUAAUGAUAUUAAGUGGCAUCAUUUGAUAUUUAAAGUUUCGGCGGUACAGGAUGGGCAUGCGUAACAUUAGCUAGUUGGUAGGGUAACGGCCUACCAAGGCUACGAUGUUUAGGGGUCCUGAGAGGGUGAUCCCCCACACUGGUACUGAGACACGGACCAGACUCCUACGGGAGGCUG
rnacentral:rRNA from 1 species